CUCGACUGACUAGCUACUGAAUCAUUUGUGUGUCACAAGUGAUGUCAUAAGGGAAAAUAAUGAUAUUACCUUAUUAAUAGUGUCGUCAAAAGCUGGUGCCAGAAGACUCGGUAAGACCAGAGACGCAAACGUUAAUCAUCAUAAACAGGCGUAAAGGGUUUGUAGGCUGCUUUAAAAGUCAAUCUUUAUCUAUAGCAUACCUAUCCACGUCCGCUCUCUUUCCAUUACGGUAAAGGUUUGGUUAAGGAAGGUGAUUAAAUAUUGAUCAAUUAAAGCUAGAAUCAAAUGGAGGUUAAAUUGAAUAAUACUUAGAGGAGGGAUUAAAUCCUUAGAUACUAAGGGGAAUACUAAGGGCGAAAGCAUUUUUCCACUAAUGAUUGACGCUGAGAAACGAAGGUGAGGAUAGGAAAUAGGAUUAGAUACCCCGGUACCCCUCUCUGUCAACGAUGAAUGGUAGUUACUAGUUAUGAAACUAGAGGCGAUGUUAACACGUUAACCAUUCCGCCUUGUGAGUACGAUUGCAAAAUUGAAAACAAAAAAAUUAGUCGGUCUCGGAGCAAACGAAGUGAAGCAUGUUAUUUAAUUC
rnacentral:rRNA from 1 species